rnacentral:rRNA from 1 species
GACGAACGCUGGCGGCGUGCUUAACACAUGCAAGUCGAACGGAAAGGCCUGCAUUCCCUUCUUCAGUGCGGGUACUCGAGUGGCGAACGGGUGAGUAACACGUGAGUCAUCAGCACCCAACUUGGGUCUAAGCCCGGGAAACUGGGUCUAAUUCUCGAUAGCACUGCAGGGUGGUGCCUGGGGUGGCAAUCGAUUUUCUACUGGUUGGGGAAGAGCUCGCGGCGUAUCAGCUUGUUGGUGGGGUAAUGGCCCACCAAGGCGGCGACGGGUAGCCAGAGUGGGAGGGUGGACAGUGACAUUGAGACUGAGAUGCGACCCAGACUCCUAGGGGCGGCAGCGAUGGGGACGAGAAGGCGAAGGGCGGAAGACUGCAGCAGCGAGGGAGUGUGGAGGAUGACGGGAUUCGGGAUGUAUGCUCCUAUGGACCGCGAAAAAGGCACCUAGAUGGGAAGGUAGUGACGGUACUGGAGGAGAAAGCACCGGCUAACUACGUG